GGGUUGUGAGGUUAAGCGACUAAGCGUACACGGUGGAUGCCCUGGCAGUCAGAGGCGAUGAAGGGCGUGCUAAUCUGCGAUAAGCGCCGGUAAGGUGAUAUGAACCGUUAUAACCGGCGAUACCCGAAUGGGGAAACCCAGUGUGAUUCGUCACACUAUCAUUAACUGAAUCCAUAGGUUAAUGAGGCGAACCGGGGGAACUGAAACAUCUAAGUACCCCGAGGAAAAGAAAUCAACCGAGAUUCCCCCAGUAGCGGCGAGCGAACGGGGAGGAGCCCAGAGCCUGAAUCAGCAUGUGUGUUAGUGGAAGCGUCUGGAAAGGCGCGCGAUACAGGGUGACAGCCCCGUACACAAAAGCGCAUGUGCUGUGAGCUCGAUGAGUAGGGCGGGACACGUGGUAUCCUGUCUGAAUAUGGGGGGACCAUCCUCCAAGGCUAAAUACUCCUGACUGACCGAUAGUGAACCAGUACCGUGAGGGAAAGGCGAAAAGAACCCCGGCGAGGGGAGUGAAAAAGAACCUGAAACCGUGUACGUACAAGCAGUGGGAGCACAGGUUUACCUGUGUGACUGCGUACCUUUUGUAUAAUGGGUCAGCGACUUAUAUUCUGUAGCAAGGUUAACCGAAUAGGGGAGCCGGAGGGAAACCGAGUCUUAAUUGGGCGUUAAGUUGCAGGGUAUAGACCCGAAACCCGGUGAUCUAGCCAUGGGCAGGUUGAAGGUUGGGUAACACUAACUGGAGGACCGAACCGACUAAUGUUGAAAAAUUAGCGGAUGACCUGUGGCUGGGGGUGAAAGGCCAAUCAAACCGGGAGAUAGCUGGUUCUCCCCGAAAGCUAUUUAGGUAGCGCCUCGUGAAUUCAUCUCCGGGGGUAGAGCACUGUUUCGGCUAGGGGGCCAUCCCGGCUUACCAACCCGAUGCAAACUGCGAAUACCGGAGAAUGUUAUCACGGGAGACACACGGCGGGUGCUAACGUCCGUCGUGAAGAGGGAAACAACCCAGACCGCCAGCUAAGGUCCCAAAGUCAUGGUUAAGUGGGAAACGAUGUGGGAAGGCCCAGACAGCCAGGAUGUUGGCUUAGAAGCAGCCAUCAUUUAAAGAAAGCGUAAUAGCUCACUGGUCGAGUCGGCCUGCGCGGAAGAUGUAACGGGGCUAAACCAUGCACCGAAGCUGCGGCAGCGANNGUUGGGUAGGGGAGCGUUCUGUAAGCCUGUGAAGGUGUGUCGUGAGGCAUGCUGGAGGUAUCAGAAGUGCGAAUGCUGACAUAAGUAACGAUAAAGCGGGUGAAAAGCCCGCUCGCCGGAAGACCAAGGGUUCCUGUCCAACGUUAAUCGGGGCAGGGUGAGUCGACCCCUAAGGCGAGGCCGAAAGGCGUAGUCGAUGGGAAACGGGUUAAUAUUCCCGUACUUGGUGUUACUGCGAAGGGGGGACGGAGAAGGCUAUGUUGGCCGGGCGACGGUUGUCCCGGUUUAAGCGUGUAGGUGUGUGUUCCAGGUAAAUCCGGUUCACUUUAACACUGAGGCGUGAUGACGAGGCACUACGGUGCUGAAGUAACAAAUGCCCUGCUUCCAGGAAAAGCCUCUAAGCAUCAGGUAACAUCAAAUCGUACCCCAAACCGACACAGGUGGUCAGGUAGAGAAUACCAAGGCGCUUGAGAGAACUCGGGUGAAGGAACUAGGCAAAAUGGUGCCGUAACUUCGGGAGAAGGCACGCUGACACGUAGGUGAAGUGAUUUACUCAUGGAGCUGAAGUCAGUCGAAGAUACCAGCUGGCUGCAACUGUUUAUUAAAAACACAGCACUGUGCAAACACGAAAGUGGACGUAUACGGUGUGACGCCUGCCCGGUGCCGGAAGGUUAAUUGAUGGGGUCAGCGCAAGCGAAGCUCCUGAUCGAAGCCCCGGUAAACGGCGGCCGUAACUAUAACGGUCCUAAGGUAGCGAAAUUCCUUGUCGGGUAAGUUCCGACCUGCACGAAUGGCGUAAUGAUGGCCAGGCUGUCUCCACCCGAGACUCAGUGAAAUUGAACUCGCUGUGAAGAUGCAGUGUACCCGCGGCAAGACGGAAAGACCCCGUGAACCUUUACUAUAGCUUGACACUGAACAUUGAGCCUUGAUGUGUAGGAUAGGUGGGAGGCUUUGAAGUGUGGACGCCAGUCUGCAUGGAGCCGACCUUGAAAUACCACCCUUUAAUGUUUGAUGUUCUAACGUGGACCCGUUACCCGGGUUGCGGACAGUGUCUGGUGGGUAGUUUGACUGGGGCGGUCUCCUCCUAAAGAGUAACGGAGGAGCACGAAGGUUGGCUAAUCCUGGUCGGACAUCAGGAGGUUAGUGCAAUGGCAUAAGCCAGCUUGACUGCGAGCGUGACGGCGCGAGCAGGUGCGAAAGCAGGUCAUAGUGAUCCGGUGGUUCUGAAUGGAAGGGCCAUCGCUCAACGGAUAAAAGGUACUCCGGGGAUAACAGGCUGAUACCGCCCAAGAGUUCAUAUCGACGGCGGUGUUUGGCACCUCGAUGUCGGCUCAUCACAUCCUGGGGCUGAAGUAGGUCCCAAGGGUAUGGCUGUUCGCCAUUUAAAGUGGUACGCGAGCUGGGUUUAGAACGUCGUGAGACAGUUCGGUCCCUAUCUGCCGUGGGCGCUGGAGAACUGAGGGGGGCUGCUCCUAGUACGAGAGGACCGGAGUGGACGCAUCACUGGUGUUCGGGUUGUCAUGCCAAUGGCACUGCCCGGUAGCUAAAUGCGGAAGAGAUAAGUGCUGAAAGCAUCUAAGCACGAAACUUGCCCCGAGAUGAGUUCUCCCUGAGACUUAAAGUCUCCUGAAGGAACGUUGAAGACGACGACGUUGAUAGGCCGGGUGUGUAAGCGCAGCGAUGCGUUGAGCUAACCGGUACUAAUGAACCGUGAGGCUUAACCUUACAACGCCGAAG
rnacentral:rRNA from 1 species